GGGCUAGGCCCCAUUUUCUCCAUUUCCGCCUAAAUUACGUGCCCAAAGUAAACUGCCUGUUGCUCAUGCCCUGAAGCCAGGAUAUGCAUAUAAUUGGUACCAUUGGAAAGAAAACACUUUGCAUUUUGUAGAAAUGUUAAAAUCAUUUAGGAGAAUAUAACACAAUAGAUAUGGUUGGAGAAAAUCCAAAGAAAAACCAACCAUCCUCUUAGAAAGGCAAGUAAAAGGUCAUAUUGAAAAUUAGCUUCCUGGAUUCCUAUGGCUUCCACAGGGCGUCAGAAGUCUAUGUUCAAGGUUUCAGGCUUGUAACUUCAAAAACAGAAUAAGAAAUAUCAGCUUUUGGAAAUUCGUGUUUGCGCGCGCCAUGAAGACAGGACGCACCUGCUAAAAUCGAUUUUCUAUUGAACAUACUUCUUUCCGUAAGAAAUAUUAUAGUUUGAUUACAUUUUAGGGUAUCUGAGGAGUAAAUAGAAAUGUACUUUCACUUUCACUUGUUGAAACAAACUUUAGGGGUAGAUUUUCGGAUUCCUUUCUCAGCAUGUUGAACGAGUGGAUUACUCAAAUCGAUGGCGGCAAUUAAACAUACUUUUUGGGAUAUAAAGAAGGAUUUUUUUCUAACAAAACAACACCACAUGUUAUAGCUGGGACCCUUUGGAUGACAAAUCAGAGGAAGAUUUUCAAAAAAGGACCUGAGCCCUAGGACCAUGGACCAUGCCUCAGGACUAUCUGGCAUGAUGACUCCUUGCUGUCCCCAGUCCACCUGGCCGUGCUGCUGCUCCAGUUUCAACUAUUCUGCCUGUGGCUAUGGAACCCUGACCUGUUCACCGGACGUGCUACCUGUCCCAGACCUGCUGUUUUCAACUCUCUAGAGACAGCAGGAGCAGUAGAGAUACUCUCAAUGAUCGGCUAUGAAAAGCCAACUGACAUUUACUUUUGAGGUGCUGACUUGUUGCACCCUCGACAACUACUGUGAUUAUUAUUACUUGACCAUGCUGGUCAUUUAUGAACAUUUGAACAUCUUGGCUAUGUUCUGUUAUAAUCUCCACCCGGCACAGCCAGAAGAGGACUGGCCACCCCUCAUAGCCUGGUUCCUCUCUAGGUUUCUUCCUAGGUUUUGGCCUUUCUAGGGAGUUUUUCCUAGCCACCGUGCUUCUACACCUGCAUUGCUUGCUGGUUGGGGUUUUAGGCUGGGUUUCUGUACAGCACUUUGAGAUAUCAGCUGAUGUUAAAGUCCCCAGGAGACUGUCAGGAUGACAGGAUGACACAUUACACCCCAGUCAUCAGAUGGCAUACCUACAAAGCCACUGGAGCACAAACAUAUCGCCAGCCGUCACCCGUCUGUCUCACAGUCAAGAAAGGGCUUUGGACAGCGUGGGCUAACAUGGAUAAGAUUGCAUGUUUAGUAUCAAGUCAUUCUGUAGUCACCCUAGACGGCAUUGCGAAAGGUGUCGUUUGUGAGGGCUCAGUUGCAACCUCAUGCAUAUUCAUUGAUGUAACGUAACCUAAGUACUCCUCAUCCAUGCUCUGACAGUAAUACACAUAGUGAAGACGUUACAAUAUGAAAAUUACAAUGUAAUUUUUAAGCAAGUACGGUAUUUGAAAUUGAAGCUUGACAUGCUGUAUAACUAUAUCUAUAUUUCUAUUUCAUUAAAUUAACCACUGG
rnacentral:lncRNA from 1 species